rnacentral:rRNA from 1 species
UACGUAGGGAGCAAGCGUUGUCCGGAAUCAUUGGGCGUAAAGCGCGCGUAGGCGGCCCUGUAAGUCCGUUGUGAGAGUCAAAGGCUCAACCUUUGAAAGCCGAUGGAUACUGCAGGGCUAGAGUCCGGAAGAGGCGAGUGGAAUUCCUGGUGUAGCGGUGGAAUGCGCAGAUAUCAGGAGGAACACCCAUAGCGAAGGCAGCUCGCUGGGACGGUACUGACGCUAAGGCGCGAAAGCGUGGGGAGCGAACAGG